UAGGUAGAAGUAAGUAAAAGUAGAUUAAUUUCAUAAUAUCUUUUAGAGAAGCUUUUUAGAAGCUUUAUAUAUGUGAUUUUGACUUUAUACAUAUUUUUAGUUGAUUGGUAGAUUACAAAUCUAAUCAAUAAGUUAAUCACAUAUCACAUGUCUUCGUAGCUUGUCAAACAAGCUAAACAUGUGACAUAUAUAUGGAAAAAUUUUGUUGC
rnacentral:lncRNA from 1 species